rnacentral:rRNA from 1 species
CCUGAUCCAGCCAUGCCGCGUGUGUGAUGAAGGCCUUAGGGUUGUAAAGCACUUUCAGAAGUGAAGAAAGGCGUUGGGUGAAUAAUCUGACGUUUUGACGUUAGCUUCAGAAGAAGCACCGGCUAACUCCGUGCCAGCAGCCGCGGUAAUACGGAGGGUGCAAGCGUUAUCCGGAAUCACUGGGUUUAAAGGGUGCGUAGGCGGUUGCGUAAGUCAGAAGUGAAAGCUCACAGCUUAACUGUGGAAUUGCUUUUGAUACUGCGCGACUAGAAUCAGGUUGAGGUU